GCAACUCAAAGGAGGCAUAUAUAUGUUCAUCUGUGGAUCCACACUUGGGUGAAAAAAAAUCUUUUGUCUUCGUGUGCUUAUUGUGUUCUUGUUGAUUCAAGUUGACUUUUUGGUGAUUUGUCCUAAUCUACUUGGUUGUGAGUUUCUGUUGCAGGUAAUCCGUGGGAAAGUAUCUCUACCUCAAUGUCACACUUCGGUUUUCAAGGAAUUCAGCUAAUUCAACUUCUUGGUCCCAAUUCGUGUCAUUCUCUCUCUGUGAUCGGGUCAUCCGGCUAGUGACUGGGUACUCCAAACCCCAUCAGGUGUUACAAUACCCAACCACUACCACAAAACGGAGAUUUCUUGAGAGGAACUAACGAC
rnacentral:lncRNA from 1 species